rnacentral:lncRNA from 1 species
AGAAAGAAGAAAGAAAGAGAGAGAAGGAAGGAAGGAAGGAAAGGAGAGACCAUUUACUGAGCAUCCAACAUAUACUAGGGCAUGGGGACUCAAAAAUGAUAAAUAAAUUGUCCAUGCCUUUAACAAACUCAGUAAAUAAAUGUUAUGAUCUGAAUGUUUGUGACCCCCCUUCCCAAAUUUAUAUGUUAAAACCAUUAGGUAGUAGUAUAUGUCAAUACCAAUGUGGUGGUAUUAAGAAGUGGGGCCUCUAGGAGGUGAUUAGAUAAUGAGGGUUCUGCCCUCAUGAAUGGGAUUAGUGCCCUUAUAAAAGAGGCCAAAAGGAGCUUGUUUGUCCUUCCCAACGUGAAGACACAGCUAGAAGGCGCCAGCUCUGAGGAACAAGCCCUCACCAGACAGCAAAUCUACCAGCACCCUGAUGUUGGACUUCUCGGCCUCCAGAACUGUGAGAAAUAAAUUUCUGUUGUUUAUAAGUUACCCAAUCUAAGACAGUUUGUUAUUGCAGCCCAAAUGGACCAACACAAUAAGUAUAUUUUAUUUAAUAAGUAAAUCCAUACAUAAAACAUCUCCUAUGUGCAGGACCUGUGCUGGGCAUUAGAAAUGCUGAGGUGACCAAGAUGUCUCAAACUUUGUGGGAUACGUAUCCUAGUAGAAGAGAAAAAUGUUAAAGUAUUAUCUUAAUUAUGAAAUUGCCAUGCGACCUAUCCUACAAAGAAGCACAACUGAUAUGAGAUUGUGAAAGGAGAGGUCUGAUCUAAUUAGGAAGUUAGGGACAGCUUCCUGGACAAAGAGACAUAUGCCUGAGAUCUGAAAGAUGAACAGGAAAUUACUAGUCAAAGGGAGAGGUAGAAGAAAAGCAGACCAGGAAGAACUGAAUGUGAGAAGACCUUGGAGAGAAAAGGCAUGUAGCACAUUAGAGGAACCAAAACAGGCUAGUGUGGUGGAUGAGAGUGGUGAGGCUGGGAGGUGGGCAAGUCAUGAAGGCUGUGGGAGAGCUACUGUUGGGUUUAAAACAGGGAUGGUAUGAUUAGAUCUGCAAUUCCGUAAGAUGGUUCUACCUGCUGUGUAGAGAAUGGUUUGCUGAGAAAGCAAUAAUAGAAACUGAGAGAAAAAUAGAAGGCUAUUACAAUAGUCCAGGUGAGAGGUAUAACGAAAGCUUGAAAGAAAGUAGCAGCACUGGAAAUGGAGAGAAAUAGAGGGUUAGAGAGAGACUUUAGAAAUGCAAAUUGCAGGACUUGGUGAUUGACGGGAAUUGUCUCCAGAAUCCCGGCACCCGUGGGUUGGCGGUAGCUCCAUUCAUGAUAAAAGGAGCAUUCAAAAGGGAUCAGGUUUGAGGGACAUCUUGCCCAUGAAAGAAACAGAUGUGUGGAGAUCACAACACUGUGAUGUGGGGGCAUGAUGGAGACAGAGGAGGGGGCUGCUGGCUCUGCCUGGGGAGUCAACUAAACCUCCACUGAAGAGUUGAUGAUAUGCUGGAUGUUGAAGGAAGAAUAUAAUUUUCUUAUAUUUUAGACCUCGCCUUUCACACUCUCACAGUCAAAAAAGAGAAAUGACAUAUGCCAAGACUCAGGAUCACACUUAAGAUGAGACAACAUAAAUGGGCAAGGAUGAGAACAAGAGUCACUUAACUUUAAUUACUUAUUUUAUUGGUGUUUUUGUUCCAAAUUCUUGUAGAAAUAUAUACUAGAUUUUUUAAAGUAAGUAUGGUGGGCACUGAUGCAUCACCAACAUCCCUCACUGAAGGACCUGGUGCCCCAGCUGCUGGGACUGCUGUUGGCAGACAGCCUUCAGCUGCCAUUCCCCUCAAGGACUGCCUCCUGGCCAAGGUCAUGCCUGGGGCACCUGACAUCUAGUGAACAGUUAAUGGGAGAGUGUAAAGACCUGGACAUUCAGGCCCAAGUUGAGACAACUCUGAGGGACCAUUCUACCUGCAGAGCUCUCCACAUGGUCAGUUGAGACUAUCACUGGGGCGACACUGAAGCUCAGUUUCUCCACCUGCCCCUUACUGAUUCCUCUCCACUCCCUUCUGCAGGUGUUGGUCCCCAAGGUGCUCCUUAAUAGGCAUCCUGCGCCUUAAACACUGCCUCAGAGUCUGCUUCCCAGGAAGUCCAAACAGAUUGAGAAUCUGAGGAUGAAGAAUGAAGCUCGGAGCCUUGCAGCGGGAAGAACUUUAUCUGAACAAGAGGCAGAAUUUCCCAGUGGUCCCCUCUUUCUGGAAGCCUUGUCCCUGGUGGGCAGGGGAAGAAGGACAGUGGGGAGAUCAAACUGUCACUUUUACAGUGCUAGGGCCCAGGUUAAUUACUGACCCCCCUCUCUGAGCCCUAGGGCUCUGCCCUAACCUGGAUCCCCUGAGGAUCCCAAGAGAGUUCUUUGUGGAGAGGAUGAGGCCAGGUAUCUGGCCCUUUCAGAAGAAGAGGGGGCACUCGCUAUGCUUGAACUAUGGCUUAAGAAGCCCUCAAGCACCCCAUCACUCCCUUUUUCCCCAUCAACAACAUGGGAUCACCACACCCUAGACUUCACUGGGCUGCCUCAGGGCAAGAAGCAACCAACUAAUUUUAUGGAGAAUCUUGGGAGAGGGCAUGGCCAGGAGCCCUUGGUGAGUCCGCAUGGCUGCCAGGAAAGGAUUUUUUUUUUUUUUAAUUGUUCUGCCAGAUGGCGGACGUGCUAUCAAACUGGAACAAUUUCAUGUUAAUAUCUUGACUUGGAGUUUCUGACCACUCAGAUUGUAUAAAUUAAACCUCAAAGCUGUGUAUGGGCAGAAUCUGAAUUCUUUUCUACCCAGAGGCCAGGGGAAACAGACAACUUUGCUUGACAUUUCCCUUUGCCUGAGCAUCUUUUUUCUGGCAGCAUAGCCUUUUGAGGGCCCUAGCCAUUAUGCAGAGCCUUGAUUCUGCCUCCCCACCUUGCAUAGGCCAAGGCCUUGCCUAUUGUACUAGCAUGUCAGAAACCCAAACCUCUUGAUCGCCAAGAUCACCAAAUACCCUCAAACAGGAUUGGGGACUAGUAUAAGCAUCAUCUCACCACUUCUGGUGUAUGAGAGUUUCUUCUGUUUCCUUUGAGCUCAAUAUUUUAAAGACUAUGUAUUAUAUUUAAUUCAUCAUUUCUAGGUGUUUUGUAUUGAGAGGUUUUUCAGGGUAUCUAGUUUGUUAUGAUGACAAAACUAACAGUCCACAAGCUAUUACUUUCCUCCCACCAAAAUCAUCAAUGAGUAAUAGCCACUUUUCAGUCAUUCUCCAAGUCGGAGCCAAUUUCUUCAUAGUUAGGACAGGUAUACUAUCCAAUUAAUAGACAAACAUACCCUGCAGAGAAAUCUUCCUCAUAUCUGAAACGUUCCUGCCAAAUCCUUUCACUUUAUCAGGUUCUAAGAGUUCCUGGAUUACUCAAAAAGUUUAUCAAUGUGAGCUUCCUGUGAGACAUUCUAGGAAGUUUAAUUGGGAACAGAAAAAUAUGGAGCCAUUUGAAAUGAUCCAAGUGGGACUCAGGGCUGGGUCAAGGAAGAGGAGUCAGCAAAGAAGCUGGAGAACGAAGAGAGAGUGUGGAGAAAAAGCAGUGUCCAAAGCCACAAGCGGAGUGAGCUGGGGAAGCCAGCCCUGAAUGGCAGAACUACAAAGUGAGCCCAACAGAGUCCCAUGGAAGGGAUUCAUAAAUAUAAAAGAUGAAGCAACUUUCCCUAUACCACUUGGCACGUGAAGAAAAAUGAAGCUUAGAGUUUCCCAGGUCUUAGUCCAAGGGCCCAGCAGCAAACCUUUCAAGCACACAAAUAAACAAAACCAACAAAAUAAACCAGAGUUGACCAAAAAAAAACAUGCAAAUUAAAUUAUAUAUUUUUUCCAUUUUCAUGAGAAAACUUGCUUCUGACAAAAAUACUAGAUUCCUUUCUUAUGUUUUAUAUUGUUGUGUUCUUGUUCCUUUUUAAGUCUCAUAAAAAAAUUUCCCCAUAAUAUUCAUGUUCCUCGAAUCCUGCCAAAGCCAUGGACAUUCCUAAAGAUUAGAUUUAUUUAGAAUACUGAGUCAACAAUUUCUAUGCAUUUUAUUUCACUAAGUUUUUGGGAGUCACUAAAUGUUUAAUCAUGUAAUUAAUCCUAAAGCCCUUCUAAUUGUGUUUGCUCAGGAAAAAAAAAGCUGAUUCAGAUUGCAAUGACAGACUAUUAGACAUGCCUUGGAAUUUAUAUAAGAAACCAAUAAGUUAGUAUAAAAAUAAUUGAGAUGUAUAUAUUAUGACUGAAAGCUGCCAGGCCAGGUAUGGUGACUCACGCCUGUAAUCCCAGCACUCUGGAAGGCCGAGGCAGGCGGAUCACCUGAGA